UAUGAGUUGUGUUCUAGCGGCGGACGGGUGAGUAACGCGUGAGCAAUCUGUCUCUUACAGGGGGAUAACGCAUCGAAAGAUGUGCUAAUACCGCAUAAGACCACGACAAGGACAUCUUGAUGGGGUCAAAGGAGCAAUUCGGUAAGAGGUGAGCUCGCGUCUGAUUAGCUAGUUGGUGAGGUAACGGCUCACCAAGGCAACGAUCAGUAGCCGACCUGAGAGGGUGAUCGGCCACACUGGAACUGAGACACGGUCCAGACUCCUACGGGAGGCAGCAGUGGGGAAUAUUGGGCAAUGGGCGAAAGCCUGACCCAGCAACGCCGCGUGAAGGAAGAAGGUUUUCGGAUCGUAAACUUCUAUCCUAGGUGAAGAUAAUGACGGUAGCCUAGAAGGAAGCCCCGGCUAACUACGUGCCGGCAGCCGCGGUAAUACGUAGGGGGCAAGCGUUGUCCGGAAUGAUUGGGCGUAAAGGGCGCGUAGGCGGCCAACUAAGUCUGAAGUGAAAGUCCUGCUUUUAAGGUGGGAAUUGCUUUGGAAACUGGAUGGCUUGAGUGCAGGAGAGGUUAGUGGAAUUCCCGGUGUAGCGGUGAAAUGCGUAGAGAUCGGGAGGAACACCAGUGGCGAAGGCGACUAACUGGACUGUAACUGACGCUGAGGCGCGAAAGUGUGGGGAGCAAACAGGAUUAGAUACCCU
rnacentral:rRNA from 1 species